rnacentral:rRNA from 1 species
UACGGAGGGUGCGAGCGUUGUCCGGAAUCACUGGGCGUAAAGGGCGCGUAGGCGGCGCGACAAGUCAAUGGUGAAAGCCCGAGGCUCAACUUCGGGUCGGCCACUGAUACUGUUGGGCUUGAGCACUGUAGAGGCAGGUGGAAUUCCGGGUGUAGCGGUGGAAUGCGUAGAGAUCCGGAAGAACACCGGUGGCGAAGGCAAUCUCCUGGACCUGCACUGACGCUCAUGCACGAAAGCGUGGGGAGCAAACAGG